UGCAGGACCUUUAACAGAAACUAAACAACAACAAAAUAAGGUAUCUCAACUCCGAGGGUAUUCAUAAGCAACAAUUGGGACAAAAACUUUGUUGGGUGCUCCAAAAUCACUAUGUCCUCCUUCUGGUCAUGAUCUCGAUUAGCAAGCAAAUCAUCAUAUAUAUUGAUUCGCUUCUCAAAAGGUAUGACUAAUCUUCACCUGGUCCAACUCACUCAACAACUUCCUAAUGGCAACAAUAAUACUCCUACCAGUAGCACAACCUUGACUAUCUCCUUUAAGCAC
rnacentral:lncRNA from 1 species